GGUGCCAUGGUGUAAUGGUUAGCACUCUGGACUCUGAAUCCAGUGAUUCUGAGUUCAAAUUUCGGUGGGACCU